AUGACCGAAAACAUUCCAAAAGCAUACUCUUGUAACCAAACCCUGCACAUUAAAAUCAGCAAUGCACAUGUAACAGAAAAGAUAGCAAAAAAACUCAAAAUUAGAACCAAAGCAUUGAGUAAAUUUUCCCUGCACCAAUUCCAAAACCUGCUACAAAAUGUCUACAAAAAAUCUUGUCAAAAUUCGACUGACAGCCCUGCACAUACACAUUAA